UACAGAGGUCUCAAGCGUUGUUCGGAUUCAUUGGGCGUAAAGGGUGCGUAGGUGGCCGGGUAAGUCGGAUGUGAAAUCCCGGGGCUCAACCUCGGAACUGCAUUCGAUACUGCUUUGCUGGAGUACUGGAGAGGAGAUUGGAAUUUACGGUGUAGCAGUGAAAUGCGUAGAUAUCGUAAGGAAGACCAGUGGCGAAGGCGGAUCUCUGGACAGUUACUGACACUGAGGCACGAAGGCCAGGGGAGCAAACGGG
rnacentral:rRNA from 1 species